UGCGGAGUUAUAGGGGUCUGGAGAGGGUAGGGGGUCCCUGGGAUGGACCCUGGAGAUUGGGGGUUAUAGGGGCGGGGCCUGAAGAGGCUAUGGGGUCCCUGGGAUGAAGCCUCGUAUUUGGGGGCAAUAGGGGAAGGGCCUGGAGAGUACGUGGGGUCCCCGGGGUGGAGUCUGGGGACUGGGGAGUUUUAGGGGUUGGGCCUGGAGAGCUAAGGGCGUUGGAGGCUGGACCUGGAGAGUACAUGGGACCCCUACGGUGAAGCCUGAGAAUUUAGGAGCUGGUGACUGCCCUCAUGUGUGAUUUGCGGCGGCCAGCGGCAGGUGGGAUGAUGGACUUGGCCUAC
rnacentral:lncRNA from 1 species